GUACCACCACACUAGAUCUAGUCUACUCAUAUUUGUUCGACGAGGUCGUCCCGAUCAGUCCCAGCGCACGCACCCUGUAGUAGUCGGCCUUUAGAACUUUUUGAAAGAGAUGGAUGUCUGGGAUCGAUUUCAACUCAGAGAUUGCCUGGUCCGCCUUUCUCUACUAUGCCUUUUUUCGUGAACUACUAAAUGACUCCUCUUGCUCCAAGCUCCCUUUUGUUGCCUUCUCGUUCACAUCCUCGUUCAAUUGAAACAAGCUUUCAAUCAAUAUCUGCAGGCGCAUUAUCUAAUUCCUAUAUGAAAAUUCAUUUGCGGAAGACCUCCAUUCAAACAUGAGAAAAGCUUCAGGGCCCGUCCAAGAUGGGAUGGGAGAAAAAAAGCGAAACAAAUCUGGAUUGUGCAUUGGUCGGGAUCUCCGUAACAAGUAGGUGAACGGUGAUGAUCAAAACCAGGAGAAAGAUCUG
rnacentral:lncRNA from 1 species